rnacentral:misc_RNA from 1 species
UUUCCGUAGGUGAACCUGCGGAAGGAUCAUUACUGGGUUUCGGACCUCGCGUCCACUCACCCGCCCUUUGUCAUAUACAUCCACAUCAUUUCGGCCCCUGGCUCUCGGACGCCCCCGCUAUUAGCUUAGCGGGGUACCGCCCGUCUGCCGCGGGUCGGCAUUGCAAACCCACGCGGAUUUCUGAAGUCUGAUACAAUUUUUUAAACGAAAUUAAAACUUUCAACAACGGAUCUCUUGGUUCUGGCAUCGAUGAAGAACGCAGC